rnacentral:antisense_RNA from 1 species
UAGACGCGGGGCCUGAGGCUCAUGGACUUGAGAAAGGAUUCAAGGCAGCCGAUGAUGAAAACCCCCAUGCUUGCAAGUGAAGGUUCUGCCUGUCACUCCUCGCAGAGGCUGCAGAAAAGGCCCAGGAGGCUGUUGAUGACAUGAACGACCACCAGGAGAAGCUGGAGCAGGCUGAUGCACAGAAGGGCGGAGAAGAGGGACACGUGCCAGACAACAGCUGCAGAGGGCUCCAGGCAGACAGAGUUCCAGAGCCAACGGUCAUACAAAUAAUUCCUAUCCCAAAAAAUAAGGAGACCACGAAUCAGGCGAUAAGUAAGGAAAGCCAAACAGGCAACCCCAGUACAAAACUGGGGUCUCCCCUGACCGGGUCAUGGGACUGGGCUCGUGAGGGUGACCAUUACUGCUCCAUUUGCAAUUUUCUGAGUAUCAGAGGAGCAAGAUGCUAGGAUGUGUGACCCAAAGGA